AUUGAACGCUGGUGGCAUGCCUUACACAUGCAAGUCGAACGGCAGCACGGACUUCGGUCUGGUGGCGAGUGGCGAACGGGUGAGUAAUGUAUCGGAACGUACCAUUGAGUGGGGGAUAACGUAGCGAAAGUUACGCUAAUACCGCAUAUACCCCGAGGGGGAAAGCAGGGGAUCUUAGGACCUUGUGCUCUUUGAGCGGCCGAUAUCAGAUUAGCUAGUUGGUGAGGUAAAGGCUCACCAAGGCGAAGAUCUGUAGCGGGUCUGAGAGGAUGAUCCGCCACACUGGGACUGAGACACGGCCCAGACUCCUACGGGAGGCAGCAGUGGGGAAUUUUGGACAAUGGGGGCAACCCUGAUCCAGCCAUGCCGCGUGAGUGAAGAAGGCCUUCGGGUUGUAAAGCUCUUUCAGCCGGGAAGAAAUCGUGGUGGCUAAUAUCCAUCAUGGAUGACGGUACCGGAAUAAGAAGCACCGGCUAACUACGUGCCAGCCGCCGCAGUAACAC
rnacentral:rRNA from 1 species